GGAGACUAGGGCUCAGGAGCCAAGGAAAGAGCAGAGGAGAGAGAUGGAAGCCAAAGACCAGGGACCCGCAGAACUGGAGAGUUGCAUUCUUGCAAGUGGCUACACAUCCUGCCCAAGACACAAGUCACAACAGCAUCAGAAACAGAUUCUGGCUCACCCACGUUAGCAAUGGAAAGUCUAGUGAUUCUUCCACAAGUGCGUGAAGCCCUGCAAAGGAAAAAUAAAUCACAAAUUAAUUUCUGAAGAGACAAAAAACAAGCCGUUAAAUAAUUUUUUCUGGAGAGGACAAAAGCUAAACAAUGAAUGGUAUAAAAAUGAUGGGAUGAAAUCCAACUAAAGCAAAGAUACCUAAAACCAGGUUGUCUGUCCCCAUGGGGCUGACACCUCCCCAGGAGACCGGGCAAAGUCCAGCGCAUUGUGAGGGAUGGGGAGGUAGUGGGAUAAGCAGGUCUGGGGGAGGCUUACUCAGAGCCUACUAGACUGGAAAGAGGGGUCCCGACGGCUAUGUGCUUUCUUCCUUCAGCAGCUUAGCACAGUUUGACUUUAGCAUCUCACCUUACUCAAAAGAGGGCACCAGUACUGAGCUCAAGAGACUUGUUUGACAGAGAUUCCUCUGUCUAUGCACCCCUAUGACAAUAGCUUAUUCCCCAGUUCAGACGAGC